UCCUCCCACUCUUCACAUCCCACUCUUAUCAGGCGCUGCAGUCAGCAUCUUUGACCUAUAUUUGAUUCCCUUUUGCAAUAUGCGCAUUUGAUCAUGAAAGUGCCUGGGAAAGGUUCCUUCUAAACCACAAAACAAGGAUCCCAUCCGGGGUGCCACAUCGCAGUUGCUCAUCAAAUCUCCUCAGGCUCUUCUUGGCUUGUACCAGUUCCUCAGACUGUGUGUGCUUUUGAUGACCUUGACAGUUGGCAGGGCACUGGCCAGGUAUGUUGUAGACUAGCCCUCUAACUGGGAUCGGCGUGGAAUUUGUCUCAUGAUGAGCCUGGGGUUAUGGACUGGAGUGAGGAAGACCACAUAGGAGAAGCGCCAUUUUCAUCGCAUGGAGCCAACAGCACAGACUAGACACAGGACUUAUCACUGAGGUGGCUGAAGGCUGAUCCCCUGGCUGAGGUUGUAUUCGCCAGGUUUCUCUACGGGCUCAUGGAAAGGAAGAAGAGGAGAAUAUUAGCACCAGAAGGGACCUUCGUGAUGACAGAGAUUCAUCACGCCUGACAGAUGAGGAAACUACAAGGCUAGAAGAUCUCCGGACAGUCCCUCAGCAAUCAUAAAAGGGCUCUGAAGAAGCCGACUGAAGAACCUAUGCAGCUCACAGUAACUACCAUCAUCAUAGGCCCUCUCUUCUGCAGAACACCCACAGAUACCGGGUGAUCUUGUGUCCUACUGAAGAGAACCUGUGGGAAGCGCUGGACUACCUCAGAGAUGCCUUCACCUGUCAUUAUGCUGCUGCCCGCUUGGGAAAGCUCUGGUUCCUCCCUACUCUCUCCCAUCUCAUUAUUCUCUGCUCCACUUCCCUUGGUCUUUUGGAUUCUUUACAUCUCCACUCCACUGACUACUCCAUAUUUUACCCUGUGGUCUUAGUGUUCUUAUUUAUGUGCCCCCCACUUUUUUUCAUUAUGACUUUGUCACCUCUCAAACCUAGAUUUCUUUUUUCAUUCCCUUUAACCUCUGCUCCAGAUCAGAGUUUCCUUCCCAAGCAAGUUUAAGGGCCCCAAUAAUAAGGCAAGUUGGUCUUCAGCUACUUAAUUACCUUUUACCGCCUCUGCCAACCACACUUUGUUCUUUCUCUAAGGACCUUCCUGCCUUAAAAUAGUGUUCUCUCUGUGUACCAGUUUGUAUGUGUAUGCAUUGUUUUUAAAAUCGAAGUAGAGUUGAUACACGGUAUGUCCUCACAUUUUUCUUAAUAUUUUUGCACCGUGACUCUUUUGCCUUUUUAGCAUGUUUUAUCUUUAUUUUUUCCAUUCAAAAAAUUGUGCAGUGACUAUUUUUGUCUCCACAUUAUGUGCUUGCCUUUCAAAAAUUUUAUAGUACAAUGUCACAUACUUGUAAAUAAAUUGUUGUAAUAAAGCCCUCCACAUA